rnacentral:rRNA from 1 species
CCUACGGGAGGCAGCAGUGGGGAAUCUUGCGCAAUGGGCGAAAGCCUGACGCAGCCAUGCCGCGUGAAUGAUGAAGGUCUUAGGAUUGUAAAAUUCUUUCACCGGGGACGAUAAUGACGGUACCCGGAGAAGAAGCCCCGGCUAACUUCGUGCCAGCAGCCGCGGUAAUACGAAGGGGGCUAGCGUUGCUCGGAAUUACUGGGCGUAAAGGGAGCGUAGGCGGAUAGUUUAGUCAGAGGUGAAAGCCCAGGGCUCAACCUUGGAAUUGCCUUUGAUACUGGCUAUCUUGAGUGUGGGAGAGGUAUGUGGAACUCCGAGUGUAGAGGUGAAAUUCGUAGAUAUUCGGAAGAACACCAGUGGCGAAGGCGACAUACUGGCCCAUUACUGACGCUGAGGCUCGAAAGCGUGGGGAGCAAACAGGAUUAGAUACCCUGGUAGUCCACGCUGUAAACGAUGAGUGCUAGUUGUCGGCAUGCAUGCAUGUCGGUGACGCAGCUAACGCAUUAAGCACUCCGCCUGGGGAGUACGGUCGCAAGAUUAAAACUUAAAUGAAUUGACGG